UAAUACGGAGGGGGCCAGCGUUGUUCGGAAUCAUUGGGCGUAAAGGGCGCGUAGGCGGCUUCGUAAGUCGGACGUGAAAUCCCUCGGCUCAACUGAGGAACUGCGUCCGAUACUGCAAAGCUUGAGUCCCGGAGAGGGUAGCGGAAUUCCCAGUGUAGCGGUGAAAUGCGUAGAUAUUGGGAGGAACAUCGGUGGCGAAGGCGGCUACCUGGACGGGUACUGACGCUGAGGCGCGAAAGCGUGGGGAGCAAACAGGAUUAGAUACCCUGGUAGUCCACGCUGUAAACGAUGGGCACUUGGUGUUGCGGGUAUCGACCCCUGCAGUGCCGAAGCUAACGCAUUAAGUGCCCCGCCUGGGGAGUACGGUCGCAAGGCUG
rnacentral:rRNA from 1 species